UACGUAGGGGGCGAGCGUUGUCCGGAUUUAUUGGGCGUAAAGCGCGCGCAGGCGGUGCGUUAAGUCUGGUGUGAAAGCUCCCGGCUCACCUGGGAGAGGGCACUGGAGACUGGCGGACUGGAGGGCGGCAGAGGCCGGUGGAAUUCCCGGUGUAGUGGUGAAAUGCGUAGAGAUCGGGAGGAACACCAGUGGCGAAGGCGGCCGGCUGGGCCGUGCCUGACGCUGAGGCGCGAAAGCGUGGGGAGCGAACCGG
rnacentral:rRNA from 1 species